GGCUCUGUGGCGCAAUAGUUAGCGCAUUGGACUUCUAAUUCAAAGGUUGUGGGUUCGAGUCCCACCAGAGUUG
rnacentral:tRNA from 1 species